rnacentral:lncRNA from 1 species
AACGGGCGCAAGGCUCGCACCCACUACGGCCCCUCGGGCGGCGGAGCGAGGCUCCGCGAACCCGGGACUGGGCGCGCCAGGCCCGCGCGCUGAGGCCCCCUCCCCCGGCUCUGGCCACGCGGGCUGCUCUGCCUCUGUGAGUGUGCGGGACACAGAGCCAGGGGGAGGGAGGGCCGUGUUCUGCGGUCACAGGCAGACAGGAGUGCCGGAAGAUGCAGUCUGGAGCCCCCGGGGGACUGCGGUUCCGGCCCAGCAGCAGCCGCCAUCCCCACGUUGGGUGGCGAGAUCCGAAAGUUUCCAGCUACGAACAGUUUGCUUUUUUUUUUUCCUUGAUCGCUUUUUUUGGCAAGGGCGGAGAGCACCAGUAGCGUGGGGGGUUUAAAUGCACUUUCCCUGAAUGCAACAGAGAAAUGCCGGGCUGGAGGGCAAACUCCACCGGGACAGGGAGGCGGGAGAUAGCCUGAGCGCCCCCCCAUCCCCCACACUCUGAGCGUCGCAACCCCGGGGGCACCUCCAGGGACUACUUGCCUUGUGCGUCAGCGAGUGACAGCGUCACACACACGCCCCCUCCCGCACAUGCCCGCUGCACCCUCCCUUUCCCCCUCCCCUUCCCUUCUCUCUUUUCCCCUAGCUCUUCCCACCAGGCAGAGAGGCUCAGCCGACCCACACGCUCCCAGAGCACUGAAAGCUAAAAAUAUAGCCGGUGUGUUAGCAACAGCCUUCCCAUUGGUCGGGGGAAAGGGAGAAGCGGUGUCUGAUUGGGUUUAGGAUCCAGCCGCUAAGACUGGGCCCUUGGGAGUGUGCGUUUGCGCCAGCGGGCACGGCAAGGGAUGCUGGUAUUUGUAGUCAUUGAUUAAGGCAGCCAUGUAAAUAGGUGGGUUUACAUCCCAGUUCGGCUACCGACUGUGUGAUCUUGAUUUAAUGCAGCAAAACGCUUGACAUCACCAAACCUCAGUUUCCCCAUCUAUAAAAUGGAGCUCGUGUCGGGGAUUAAAUAUGAUGCUGUAUGUAAAGCCUGGCUCAAAUCGUUGCUAUUCUUAAUUUAAAGAUUAGUGUUUGGGCCAAAUUGCCUCUGCACAUCCUGCAUAUCCUGGGCUGAGUAUGGUGUCCACUCUCCAAUGUGAAACUUCUGACAAUGGUAAAGGUG